rnacentral:rRNA from 1 species
AAGCACGAAACUUGCCCCGAGAUGAGUUCUCCCUGACUCCUUGAGAGUCCUGAAGGAACGUUGAAGACGACGACGUUGAUAGGCCGGGUGUGUAAGCGCAGCGAUGCGUUGAGCUAACCGGUACUAAUGAGCCGUGAGGCUUAACCUUACAACGCCGAAGGUGUUU